GCUCUUUUAUACAUCUACAAGGAUGGAUAAAAAUCCAUAUAUAUAUGGAUUUUUAUCCAUCCUUGUAUAUGUGUGUGUGUGU